rnacentral:rRNA from 1 species
ACAUGCAAGUCGAGCGAUCUCUCGGAGAAGAGCGGCGGACGGGUGAGUAACGCGUGGGUAACCUGCCUCAUACACAUGGAUAACAUACCGAAAGGUAUGCUAAUACAGGAUAAUAUAAGAGAUUCACAUGGAUUUCUUAUCAAAGCUCGGGCGGUAUGAGAUGGACCCGCGUCUGAUUAGCUAGUUGGUAAGGUAACGGCUUACCAAGGCGACGAUCAGUAGCCGACCUGAGAGGGUGAUCGGCCACAUUGGAACUGAGACACGGUCCAAACUCCUACGGGAGGCAGCAGUGGGGAAUAUUGCACAAUGGGCGAAAGCCUGAUGCCAGCAACGCCGCGUGAGUGAUGAAGGCCUUCGGGUCGUAAAACUCUGUCCUCAAGGAAGAUAAUGACGGUACUUGAGGAGGAAGCCCCGGCUAACUACGUGCCAGCAGCCGC